rnacentral:rRNA from 1 species
UGCAGUCGAGCGGUGACGGGAGCUUGCUCCUUGAUUCAGCGGCGGACGGGUGAGUAAUGCCUAGGAAUCUGCCUGGUAGUGGGGGACAACGUUUCGAAAGGAACGCUAAUACCGCAUACGUCCUACGGGAGAAAGCAGGGGACCUUCGGGCCUUGCGCUAUCAGAUGAGCCUAGGUCGGAUUAGCUAGUUGGUGGGGUAAUGGCUCACCAAGGCGACGAUCCGUAACUGGUCUGAGAGGAUGAUCAGUCACACUGGAACUGAGACACGGUCCAGACUCCUACGGGAGGCAGCAGUGGGGAAUAUUGGACAAUGGGCGAAAGCCUGAUCCAGCCAUGCCGCGUGUGUGAAGAAGGUCUUCGGAUUGUAAAGCACUUUAAGUUGGGAGGAAGGGCAGUAAGUUAAUACCUUGCUGUUUUGACGUUACCGACAGAAUAAGCACCGGCUAACUCUGUGCCAGCAGCCGCGGUAAUACAGAGGGUGCAAGCGUUAAUCGGAAUUACUGGGCGUAAAGCGCGCGUAGGUGGUUCGUUAAGUUGGAUGUGAAAGCCCCGGGCUCAACCUGGGAACUGCAUCCAAAACUGGCGAGCUAGAGUACGGUAGAGGGUGGUGGAAUUUCCUGUGUAGCGGUGAAAUGCGUAGA